rnacentral:lncRNA from 1 species
UCAAAUAUAUCUAUCCAAUCCAUUGCUCCCCAUUUCUUCGGUGAUUCUCUCUCACUCUUGGUCUCUUUUCAACGUUUUCCUGUCAUUCUUUUUAGCUUUGGGUAUCCACAGGCGAAAAAAACACAUGCUAUAGUAGGAAGAGAGUUUUCGUGAGAGAAACCCUAAGUUUUCUCUGGCGAUUCUGGUUUUUGUGAUUUUUGAAAUUCGCUGCUUAAACGGAGACUCGUUUGAGGUAUCAAUUUCUUUUUUAGUUUCAGCUCCAUGCUUUUUUAGUUGUAUUUCAGUGGGUUUUUCUUAGGGUUUUUGGUUUUCAGCUUUAGAAAUCUCUGUUUCGUUUCGUCUUUCAGAUCUAUAAAUGUCGGUCUUGUUCUUCAUUUUGUUUGUUUAUCGUAUACUAUAUGUUGUUCUUUAUUUUUGGAUUGUUUUGUUCCCCUCUGUUUAAUAUUAUAGCUUUUUUUGUUAUUUUCUAUUUCUUUUAAAUCGUUGCUUAGCAGAAUACUAAUUGCCUAAACAAAAAGCAUACGUAUGUAAAUUGUUUACUACAUCUGUGUUGGCUUGAUUUUGGUUCUAGGAACCCGGUGGGAGUUGUGACACAUGUAUUGUUUAUUUGGUAGUUUUUCUGGAUGGUAAUAAAAUGCCUUUUUAAUUCGUUGUGAGUUGUGACAUUCUGUUUCUUAGUUUUCUCAAAAAGUCUGUACUUUAGUUUUUAAAAAUAAUAAUAAUCUAAUUGGGAUGCUUGUUGAUAUUGAUAAGAAUUGGAGAAUUUCAACCGAUUUGCUAAUUGCAAAGGUUUUUGUCGAUUUGGGUUUCAUGAUUAUAUUCGGUGGAGAUUGUCAUGAUUCAUGUAUGCGUAUAUGUUUUCUUUUUCAUACCGCUGGGUGCUUGCAUUAGUCAGUAAGUGUUGGGUAUAUUUUCUUUAAAAUAGUUGGGAUUGUUUGAGUUCUGUUGGGUAUGAUUUGCAAAUGGAUUUUGAUUGGAAGUUUUAGGUAGACCCAUGGUAUCUCUGUAUAUCUGCUGAAUGGAAGUUUUGUGUGAUUAUUGAUAUAUCCAUGUGGUGAAAAUACUCUGAUUUUGGUUAAAGAUAGAAUUAUAUUCAUCUGUGUUACCUAGCCUUACAUGAAGGGAAAUUGAGUUGUAAUCUUUUAAGUAAAUAGGUUCUAUGAGACUGAUUAACAUAAUUUUAAUUUGCUUAUUGGUUGAUGGUUUUAUGAGACUGAUAAAAAGAUGUGUUGGAUAUAUUCUCUAAUGAUGUCAUAACCAAUUUCUUGUUCAUUUAUUGUCUUAGUUGAUUUGAUGCAUGCUGGUUCUGAAUAAUUUUUUUUUCUUUUGAUUUUUCUGUUUUGGGUUAGCUUACAGGAUUUAAAGAUUGUCUUUGGUCAAUCGUUUGAUAAUUAUUACCUUAAACAAGUGCUGUUUGAUUUUCCUUUUUCAAUGUUGUCAUGGUAUAUAAAUGUUGAGGGUAAAAUAUUCCUGCCCUUAUAAGUUGGAGAAGAAACGUCGUCCUUGUGCAUUUUGACAAGUAGCCCGCUAUUGGCCUAAAGUAAUGCAUGGAGACUUGUGGGGUGGCACAUUCUAAGUUAGAAUGAGAGAAUAGAGGUUCUUUUGUUUGUCUUAAGAGCUGUCUAUAUAAAGGGUUGUGUUUUUUAUUUUUGUUUAAUUUAUUUUCACUAGCGGUCUUGCUAAGGGUAAUAGAUGAGAAUUUGUUGGAAUUUUUAGGGAUGCUGAUUGUAUUUAAGAGGAUGGAUUCUAAGGAAUGAACGUGGAAGUGGCCAUAUGCCUUGAAAUUAUUGGGUUCAUUAAUUGGAUCAGUCAGCUGGUCAAAUUUUUUCAGGGAAAUGAGAUAGCAAAUGUAUUAAUUAAGGUUGGCAUUUGAAGGGAAGUAUUUUCUUGGCUUGAUGGUGAUAUUUGUUCUGUUUUAUUGAGUUCUCUGUGCGAUCAUUGGUAUUUCCAUGUCCUGGCGCUGUCUGUUCUUACUUGGUGUUUGAGUUUUGGUUGACUUGUGCUACUGAUGUUUUAAUUCUACAUAUUGGUUAUGAAUUAGUGAAAGUUGUCUUAACAAAAAAGAAGAUAGCAGGGUUUUCCAUGUUCAAGUAAGAGUUAGAAAGAAUGCAAUUGGCUUCAUAAUUGUUAAUGGAAAGAGGUUAGCACUUCCAAAGGAAGUUAAGUGGACCAUGUUUAAAGUUUUAGAUAAUUUUGAUGAUGAAAACUGGUGAAGGCCACUCAUUGAUAGAUUAGAGUUUAAGUAGCUUUCAGGAAUGCUAGCUGGAACUUUGGAACAUCAAUUCCAAAUUGAACAAAUGAAAAUGUUGUUGGCAUUAGCAAAAUCAGGAAUAUGUCCAUAGAUGCACAACUAAAAUUAGACCUAAUGUAUAAAGCUUGAUUAGGUGAGCUGAAUCAGGUAGCGAUAUUGUAUGUAAUAAAGCUUGAUUAGGUGGUUUGAAUCAGGUAGAGAUAUUGUAUGUAAUAGAGCUUGAUUAGGUGGUUUGAAUCAUGUAGAGAUAUUGUAUGUAAUAAAGCUUGAUUAGGGGGUUGUUUGGUAUGAUGUUUUGAAGUUGAUGUAUGUGAUGUUUGCUGUUUAUUGCUGCCUUAAUGAAAAAUCCUUAUUAUUUUAUUUCUUUCGUAACAAAGAAAUAUCAGUACUCACUGUUGCACUGAAAAAAAUUUUAAUUAGCUUUGAAUUUUGCUUCCAUUGGCCUAAAGCUUUAAAGCUAUCACUUCUGGUAAAGAUUUUACAAUAUUCCUUUUUAUUUUUUUAGCCAAACUUAUGUAGCAACUGCUUGUGGGCCUACUUCAUCGGUGACUGAUUUCAGGUAUGAAUCAUCACUUCUACUUUGUCUGUCUUUUCAUUUUGUUUUAGUUUCAGAUCUAUUCUUUAUUACUUAUAUUUCAGUGGGUUUUAUGAUUUUUUGUUUUCUUCUUUAUGAAUCCUUUUCCUUUGCCUGCUCAUCUCUGUUUUUUUGUUGAAGAUAUAUUUAUUCAUCACUCGAAGCAAAGCAAAAGGGAAAGUAGGCAAAAGGGAAAGUAGGAGGGUUUUGAGGAGAGUGAAAAAUGGUUGGUCCUACUUCAUCGGAGAUUGUUAUCAGGUAUGAAUAUUUACUUAAACUUUGUAUCUCUGUUUUUAGUUUUAGAUAUAUGCUUCUUUUUACUAAUAUUCUCAUUGGGUAUUUGUCAGGGUU